rnacentral:rRNA from 1 species
AUCGUGAAACCGCGAACGGCUCAUUAUUACAGCUAUAAUUUACUUGAUCUUGACAAUCCUACUUGGAUAACUGUGGUAAUUCUAGAGCUAAUACAUGCACCAAAGCUCCGACCUCGCGGGAGGAGCGCAUUUAUUAGAACAAAACCAAGCGGGCGCCUUCGCGGCGCUCGUGCUUUGUUGACUCAGAAUAACUAAGCUGAUCGCAUGGUCUUGCACCGGCGACGUGUCUUUCAAGUAUCUGCCUUAUCAACUCUUCGAUGGUAGUGUAUCUGACUACCAUGGUUGUGACGGGUAACGGAGGAUAAGGGUUCGACUCCGGAGAAGGGGCCUGAGAAAUGGCCACUACGUCUAAGGAUGGCAGCAGGCGCGCAAAUUACCCACUCUCAGAACACUGAGGAGGUAGUGACGAGAAAUAACGAGGCCGUUCUCUAUGAGGCCGGUCAUCGGAAUGGGUACAAUCUAAA